rnacentral:rRNA from 1 species
AUUGAACGCUGGCGGCAUGCCUUACACAUGCAAGUCGAACGGUAACAGGUCUUCGGAUGCUGACGAGUGGCGAACGGGUGAGUAAUACAUCGGAACGUGCCUAGUAGUGGGGGAUAACUACUCGAAAGAGUGGCUAAUACCGCAUGAGAUCUACGGAUGAAAGCAGGGGAUCGCAAGACCUUGUGCUACUAGAGCGGCCGAUGGCAGAUUAGGUAGUUGGUGGGAUAAAAGCUUACCAAGCCGACGAUCUGUAGCUGGUCUGAGAGGACGAACAGCCACACUGGGACUGAGACACGGCCCAGACUCCUACGGGAGGCAGCAGUGGGGAAUUUUGGACAAUGGGCGAAAGCCUGAUCCAGCAAUGCCGCGUGCAGGAUGAAGGCCUUCGGGUUGUAAACUGCUUUUGUACGGAACGAAAAGCCCCGGGUUAAUACCCUGGGGUCACGACGGUACCGUAAGAAUAAGCACCGGCUAACUACGUGCCAGCAGCCGCGGUAAGAC